UGCAUGUCGAACGGUAACAGGUCUUCGGAUGCUGACGAGUGGCGAACGGGUGAGUAAUACAUCGGAACGUGCCCGAUCGUGGGGGAUAACGCAGCGAAAGCUGUGCUAAUACCGCAUACGAUCUACGGAUGAAAGCGGGGGAUCGCAAGACCUCGCGCGGACGGAGCGGCCGAUGGCAGAUUAGGUAGUUGGUGGGAUAAAAGCUUACCAAGCCGACGAUCUGUAGCUGGUCUGAGAGGACGACCAGCCACACUGGGACUGAGACACGGCCCAGACUCCUACGGGAGGCAGCAGUGGGGAAUUUUGGACAAUGGGCGCAAGCCUGAUCCAGCCAUGCCGCGUGCAGGAUGAAGGCCUUCGGGUUGUAAACUGCUUUUGUACGGAACGAAAAAGCUCUCUCUAAUACAGGGGGUGAAUGACGGUACCGUAAGAAUAAGCACCGGCUAACUACGUGCCAGCAGCCGCGGUAAUACGUAGGGUGCGAGCGUUAAUCGGAAUUACUGGGCGUAAAGCGUGCGCAGGCGGUUAUGUAAGACAGAGGUGAAAUC
rnacentral:rRNA from 1 species